GAGGGGUCUAAAGCAGUAUGAAAGGCAAAGAGAAAAGUUACACACUCAUCAAGAUGACAAAAAUAAUGACAGUAACACUUAUGUGGAACUUGACUUUUUCCCAGGUGCUGCUCUAAGCAUUUACUGUGUUUGUUUUACAGGAAGGAAGACUGUACACAGAGAAUAAAUAACUUGGCCAAGCCAUUCAGCUAGGAAGUUGUAGAUCCUAAAUUAAGAGUUCAAGGUCUUAAUGGCUACUCUAUGCGGCCUCUCAUAGUCUUUUCAAGGGUUUUGGAGAAGAAUAAAAGAUCAGUCAUCCACAGAUGUUUGAGUGGUUACAAUGUGCCAGCCUCCCUUCUAGGUACUGGAGAUAAAGUGGGACAAGAGAGGUGAGGUCUGGACCCUUGGCACUUUCACGAUAAAAUACACAGGCAUUGCUUUUGAACUCAGUCAUCUUUUCCCCCUUGCCCACUAGUUGCUUGUGAUACAUCAGUAUCCUCACUCACCCCCAACUCCAGAGGCUGAAACUAACUCUCCUCCUCCCUCUUCCAACUGCUGAGGAAGAUGAGUCAAUGGUGUUACUGGACCCUGUGAACUGAUGCUGUGAAGAGAGGCCAUUUAACACGGACUACGGGGAAUGGUGCCACAGGGGGCUCAGUGCUGCCCUUCACUCUCAGCAUUUUGCUCACUCAGCAUUGAUGACAGGAUGUCCCAAAAGUAACAAAAGAUGGGAGCCAGUCCUCUCAUAGCUGUUUCUUCAAUCAUCCCAUCAACAGCUCUUCAUUUAUUGAACUACCUUCCUUUUCCAAAGAGGUAAUGCUGAGAUCAGUCAGAAAGGCUUUCUGAGAAA
rnacentral:lncRNA from 10 species